rnacentral:rRNA from 1 species
AUAAUAAACAUAUUUUUAAUUGAAACACAUUCCGAACUUCAAAAUAAAAAAUAAACUUUUUUGAUAUAUUUUUAUGAGAACCGCACUUAAGUUUAUUA